rnacentral:rRNA from 1 species
UACGGGGGGGGGCAAGCGUUGUUCGGAAUUACUGGGCGUAAAGGGCGCGUAGGCGGCCUUCUAAGUCAGACGUGAAAUCCCUCGGCUCAACCGAGGAACUGCGUCUGAUACUGGAAGGCUUGAAUCCGGGAGAGGGAUGUGGAAUUCCAGGUGUAGCGGUGAAAUGCGUAGAUAUCUGGAGGAACACCGGUGGCGAAGGCGGCAUCCUGGACCGGUAUUGACGCUGAGGCGCGAAAGCCAAGGGAGCAAACAGG